rnacentral:rRNA from 1 species
AACGAACGCUGGCGGCAUGCCUAACACAUGCAAGUCGAACGAGACCUUCGGGUCUAGUGGCGCACGGGUGCGUAACGCGUGGGAAUCUGCCCUUGGGUUCGGAAUAACUCAGAGAAAUUUGAGCUAAUACCGGAUGAUGACGAAAGUCCAAAGAUUUAUCGCCCAGGGAUGAGCCCGCGUAAGAUUAGCUUGUUGGUGGGGUAAUGGCCUACCAAGGCGACGAUCUUUAGCUGGUCUGAGAGGAUGAUCAGCCACACUGGGACUGAGACACGGCCCAGACUCCUACGGGAGGCAGCAGUGGGGAAUAUUGGACAAUGGGCGCAAGCCUGAUCCAGCAAUGCCGCGUGAGUGAUGAAGGCCUUAGGGUUGUAAAGCUCUUUUACCAGGGAUGAUAAUGACAGUACCUGGAGAAUAAGCUCCGGCUAACUCCGUGCCAGCAGCCGCGGUAAAGUCUGUACU